AGUCGAGCGACUGAUUAGAAGCUUGCUUCUAUGACGUUAGCGGCGGACGGGUGAGUAACACGUGGGCAACCUGCCUGUAAGACUGGGAUAACUUCGGGAAACCGAAGCUAAUACCGGAUAGGAUCUUCUCCUUCAUGGGAGAUGAUUGAAAGAUGGUUUCGGCUAUCACUUACAGAUGGGCCCGCGGUGCAUUAGCUAGUUGGUGAGGUAACGGCUCACCAAGGCAACGAUGCAUAGCCGACCUGAGAGGGUGAUCGGCCACACUGGGACUGAGACACGGCCCAGACUCCUACGGGAGGCAGCAGUAGGGAAUCUUCCGCAAUGGACGAAAGUCUGACGGAGCAACGCCGCGUGAGUGAUGAAGGCUUUCGGGUCGUAAAACUCUGUUGUUAGGGAAGAACAAGUACAAGAGUAACUGCUUGUACCUUGACGGUACCUAACCAGAAAGCCACGGCUAACUACGUGCCAGCAGCCGCGGUAAUACGUAGGUGGCAAGCGUUAUCCGGAAUUAUUGGGCGUAAAGCGCGCGCAGGCGGUUUCUUAAGUCUGAUGUGAAAGCCCACGGCUCAACCGUGGAGGGUCAUUGGAAACUGGGGAACUUGAGUGCAGAAGAGAAAAGCGGAAUUCCACGUGUAGCGGUGAAAUGCGUAGAGAUGUGGAGGAACACCAGUGGCGAAGGCGGCUUUUUGGUCUGUAACUGACGCUGAGGCGCGAAAGCGUGGGGAGCAAACAGGAUUAGAUACCCUGGUAGUCCACGCCGUAAACGAUGAGUGCUAAGUGUUAGAGGGUUUCCGCCCUUUAGUGCUGCAGCUAACGCAUUAAGCACUCCGCCUGGGGGAGUACGGUCGCAAGACUGAAACUCAAAGGAAUUGACGGGGGCCCGCCACAAGCGGUGGAGCAUGUGGUUUAAUUCCAAGCAACGCGAAAAACCUUUACCAGGUCUUGACAUCCUCUGACAACUUUAGA
rnacentral:rRNA from 1 species